AUGGCUUGGCUAAGUUGGGAGAAAAUGAAACUACCCAAAGCAAUGGGAGGCAUGGGUUUCAGGGAUAUGCAUGCUUUUAAUCAGGCGUUGUUAGCAAAACAGGCCUGGCGGUUUUUGGACAGUCCUGAUAGUCUAUGUGCUCAUUUACUGCGCGCAAAUUAUUUCCCUAAUGGGAAUUUGUUUGAUACAGUAUUUCCUAGCAGCUCUUCGGCGGUAUGGAAAGGUAUUGUUCAUGGACUUGAAUUGUUGAAGAAGGGCAUUAUCUGGCGGGUUGGUAUUGGUACACUAAUUAGAACCUGGCGGAACCCUUGGAUUCCGCGGGGUUAUGAUCUAAGACCAGUUACGCCAAAAAGGAAUUAUCGGUAUAAUUGGGCGGACUUUCUGGAUGAACAUGGAGCAUGGGAUGUGCAGAGAUUAAGAGAACACUUUUGGGACUUGGAUGUUAAUGAAAUUCUGAAAAUUAGGACGUCCCCAAGGAAUAGACAAGAUUUUCUUGCAUGGUUCCCGGAGAGGUCCGGAUGUUUCUCGGUCCGAAGUGCAUAUCGGCUAGCUACAGCUGAAAAAUAA
rnacentral:rRNA from 1 species